GGUAAACCUAAGGCAAAUGAUUGCAUCUAAAAGAGGAGAAGCUUCCGCACUGCCUGACAGAUCCUUGAGCGGUACAGAAUCUGAGCCAGAGAGUGAGAAUAGAGUCCAGAGAAUUCCAUCCCUCCCGAAUGCUUUACCAUCCAGCAAAGCUCUGCAGCACCCAGUAGAUCCCUCUCCCAUGUCCUUCCUUUCCAAAGCACCUCAGACGACAUCUACCCCUCUUCCAAGCUACAGAAAGAAAGAAGAUUCCACUGGGGAUGAGGAUGUUAAUGAGGAGGAGGAGGAGGAGGAGGAGGAAGAUGAUGAAGAAGAAGAAGACGUCUCAGAUGAAAACGAUGAACCUGAAGAGAGCGGAGAGUCCCUUGACGCCACUCCAGCUGUUCCUGAAACAGAAGUCUCUAAAGAUAAGAAAAGAGAUUUCCUGUCCGAGCUGGGUCUAGAGAAGGGAGAGGAGGAGCAGGAUUCCUGGGACUCUGAGUCCCACUCCGAAAACCCCGAUAUGCCACGUGCAGAGAAACAAAGCCUGAACACUCAGAAUCAAGAACAGAUGACCACUGCUGAGCAGCAGAUUAAAGAAAUUGAGAUCAAUAAUGACGAUAACGGGGCUGCACAAGUUGAGAGAGACGAUUCUAUACAGAAAGAGACGGAGAAGGCAAAAUGGAAACCCCUCCGUGUUCUGAGCAAACUUGAAGGAGAUGGCGAACGAAAGACGGGUAAAAUGGUGUCACCUGGAGCAUCGUGGGUCCUGAUCUCACAUUUACGAAUGUAUUUGAAGAGGAGCUUGUUUGUGUUGAACACGGUGCUUUUUGUUUUACUUUGACAGACUUAAUGGAAG
rnacentral:lncRNA from 1 species